CAGCAGUUUGGAAUCAUUUGCACAAUGGGCGAAAGCCUGAUGCCUGCGACUGCCGCGUGAGGGAUGAAGGCCUUCGGAUUGUAAACCUCUUUCACUAGGGAAGAAACGCUGAAUCCUAAUACGAUUCAGCCUGACUUAACCCAGAGAGGAAGCCGUGGCUAACUCUGUGCCAGCAGCCGCGGUAAUACAGAGACUGCAAGCGUUAUUCGGAUUCACUGGGCGUAAAGGGUGCGCAGGCGGCCGUGUGUGUCAAAUGUGAAAUCCCGGGGCUUAACCCCGGAACUGCGUCUGAAACUACACGGCUAGAGCAUUGGAGAGGGAAGUGGAAUUCAUGGUGUAGCAGUGAAAUGCGUAGAUUCAUGAGGAACACCGAGGCGAAGGCGACUUCCUGGACAAUUGCUGACGCUCAGGCACGAAAGCCUGGGUGGCGAAAAGGGAUUAAAUACCCCUGUAGUCCACGCCCUAAACGGUGCAUACUAGGU
rnacentral:rRNA from 1 species